rnacentral:rRNA from 1 species
AACCAGGAUGUUGGCUCAGAAGCAGCCACCAUUUAAAGAGUGCGUAAUAGCUCACUGGUCGAGAGACCCUGCGCCGAAGAUUCCCGGGGCUAAAGUACGAAACCGAAGCUGUGGCUGUAUACGUAAAGUAUACGGGGUAGGGGAGCGUUCCCAUAGGGUAGAAGUCGAACUGGAAGGUUCGGUGGACUUGUGGGAAGUGAGAAUGUUGGUAUGAGUAGCGAAAAGAAAGGUGAGAAUCCUUUCCACCGAAAGCAUAAGGAUUCCUGAGCAACGAUCGUCGUCUCAGGGUAAGUCGGGACCUAAUCCGAGGCAGAGAGCGUAGGAGAUGGACAACUGGUUGAUAUUCCAGUACCGGUAGUAAUUGUUUGAGCAAUGGAGUGACACAGAAGGGCAGGCAAGCAUGCGAAUGGAAGAGCAUGUGUAAGCGUGUAGGGUGGUGCAUAGGCAAAUCCGUGCACUGAAAGCCUGAGGCGUGAUGCGGAGUGAGCAGAGAUGCGAGCGAAGUUGUUGACCCCACACUGUCGAGAAAAGCUUCUAGUGAGAGAGCUACCGCCCGUACCGUAAACCGACACAGGUAUGCGGGGAGAGAAUCCUAAGGUGCGCGGGAGAACCCUCGUUAAGGAACUCGGCAAAAUGUACCCGUAACUUCGGGAUAAGGGUAGCCACUGUUGUGAAGUCCCAUGCGGAUGGAGCAUAGAGUGGUCGCAGAGAAGAGGCCCAAGCGACUGUUUACCAUAAACACAGGUGCCUGCUAAAGCGAAAGCUGACGUAUAGGUGCUGACACCUGCCCAGUGCCGGAAGGUUAAGGAAGGAUGUUCGGAUUAGUCCAAAGCAUUCGACUGAAGCCCCGGUGAACGGCGGCCGUAACUAUAACGGUCCUAAGGUAGCGAAAUUCCUUGUCGGGUAAGUUCCGACCCGCACGAAAGGUGUAACGAUUUGGGCACUGUCUCAACGAGGGACCCGGUGAAAUUGAAAUACCUGUGAAGAUGCAGGUUACCCGCGACUGGACAGAAAGACCCCAUGGAGCUUUACUGUAACCUGACAUUGGGUUUUGAUACAUUACGUACAGGAUAGGUGGGAGGCAUGGAAAGCUGGACGCUAGUCUGGCUGGAGCCGACGUUGGGAUACCACCCUUGAUGUAUUGAAAUUCUAACCGCGAGAGUAACGAAAUCCGGGACAGUGUCAGGCGGGCAGUUUGACUGGGGCGGUCGCCUCCGAAAGAGUAACGGAGGCGCCCAAAGGUUCCCUCAGCGCGGCCGGAAAUCGCGCGAAGAGUGUAAAGGCAGAAGGGAGCUUGACUGCGAGUCAAACACGACGAGCAGGUACGAAAGUAGGGCUUAGUGAUCCGGUGGUACCGAGUGGAAGGGCCAUCGCUCAACGGAUAAAAGCUACCCUGGGGAUAACAGGCUAAUCUCUCCCAAGAGUCCAUAUCGACGGGGAGGUUUGGCACCUCGAUGUCGGCUCAUCACAUCCUGGGGCUGAAGUCGGUCCCAAGGGUUGGGCUGUUCGCCCAUUAAAGUGGUACGUGAGCUGGGUUCAGAACGUCGUGAGACAGUUCGGUCCCUAUCCAUCGCGGGCG